CUACGGGGUGAAUGCUAGAAUAUGUAAAGUUGCUAAAAUUCAACAGGUGCAAUAGGAAAACUAAUAGUUUGUAUAUCAUACUAAUUUCUUUUCUCGUUUGGAUGUUUAUCACUUCUGUUGUGCGGACGUCUUUGUGUGGUUAUGACGCACGCGCCGAACGUCAUUGUGAAAUUAUGUAUCAACAAUACAAAAUCCUGACUGUUUUGAUGCCAUGGAUCUAAUUAGAGUCAGAUGCUGCCUCUGCUACUACCAAUUUUAAAGCACCAGACGUCGCAGUCGCAAGAAACACAAGCAAUCAAUGAGCAAUCUGAACAAGUUUUUGAUGCCUUAGGAUUUACACCGAAAUCAGGGCACAGUGUUGUAAAAAACUUGCUUGAAGAAAUUGUUGUUCGUUGAAACAAUUUCUUGAAAAAGGGUUUGAUUAUUGACCGACGGGACGAAUUAAUAGCCAAGUAUAAGAUACCUGCCAAAUUUUAAUUGAAGUGCAACUAUACUUAUAAUAAUACUUAUAAUAAAGUCAGUUCUUAAACAUGGUUUGACAGCUCUAUGGACAUUUAUGGAGGCCAUGAUACCUAGCGUAGGACAACUGUCCGCCAAGGUCUAACCGUAGGAGGUUUAACAUCCUAUCACAUAUAAAAAAAUUGAUUAAUUGUUGUUUUUAUUUGCCAAGAAUGAGCCUCUAAAGAACUAUGUUCGUUAAUUACUCGAAAUCAAGUAAAAAUACACAUUAAAUAAAAUAAAAUAAAAUAAAAUAAAAUGCUUACUCAAAAAAUACGUAAUUAGUUAAUUAAUUGUCCAAUAAUACUACCUAACCUUCUGGAAUACACAGUUCACACAUUUCUCUCGGAAUCAUUUCUUAUUCUAAUCCUUAUUCUUUCUUUGUCAUUGGAUGGUAGCUUUAUUCUUAUGUGUAUUUGUUAAUACUAUGUCCGCUGUUUUACAUUCGCCAAUUUAAAUUUUAAAAUUAGAAAAACAUUAUUUCUUGCAGGUUCAUUCAAUUUAAAUUAAAAAAAAAUUCUAUCUAAUUUUACAUUUCACAUACAACAGAACGCAAAUCUCUCUACUUUCCGUUCAACGUUCUCUACGAAUCUUCGCGAUAUUAUAAUAUCGUGACCAGAGCGUCGAUAUUUCAAAGCCAUAAUUAGUUUGAACUAUGGUCAUGACCAUUCCGAGUUCAAGAUCUGCUUUAAAAUGGCUUAUUUAUUCUUCUUUUUAACGAGACUGUUAUUUGUCUCGAAAAUUCGCAUUUUAAUCUUUCUGGGUCAUCGGCAACGGACUUCCUUAAAAAUAUGUACUUAUUAGUAACACAAUGGAAUAGCAUUUUUGUUAUCAGUGAAAAAUACGCUAUUAGGAAGAUCAUUCUUUUGUUUCAAUGAUUGAAUUCCACAGAACAUUUGAACUUUGUUCUGGGAAUGAUUCGUGUUUGGAUUAGUACCUAUGGUGGACAAAUUCGUUACACAGCAUACUGCUAUUAGAUUAGGUCUUUCAUUCGUCGCAACAAAUUGCUGGUAGAUCACGUAAGGAACACGUAUCGCACAUGUCCCAUCUGUUGGACCAAAUUUCAAUUAUUAUUGUUAUAAGAACACUUUAACAAAUUAAAUAAAUCAAAAAGAUGUAAAAUGUAAAUUCAAUAAAGGUUUAGGCAAUCUAGAAUCUAGAAUUUUAUAAUAUGGCAUUAAAUCAAUCGUCCAUCAACUGUCAGUUAAAUAAAUAGAUACUCUUAGCAGAACCAGUAUGCGAUACUUGUAUUUAUUAUUUUUUUUUAUAAUUUUAAUUAUAUGAAAAUAUUGUUGAUAUGUUCGUUCUUUUAGAAUACCUACAUAUUUUUCUUGGUUCGUGUUAGACAUUUAAGACAACCUGUUUUGAUAGAAAAAAAUUUAUAUAAUAUAUAUUGUUAUAUGUAUGUCAGUUUCUUAAACAUAUUCAAUUAAAACCAAAAAUAAUAAAAUAAAACAAAUUGCCCAUCCUGGAAAAGACCUGGUUUCACAAAACUAUAAAGAUUCAAACACUCCGAUGUGAAUGUUACAAAAAAAUAUAUUAUUUUAAAAAUGUUACACGUGUUCCGCCCACACGGGAAUCAGCAGACAUACAAAAACGUCAACUCAAGCGCCCAUUGGAAAAAUAAUACAUUACUUUGCAGGACAUUUUUUUAAAAAAUCGCCUGCUCCUUGGUGUUCACAAAAAGUUGAAUAAGUACCUGAGUGGUACUUAAAAGCCAUAAUACCUGUUUUCAAAAAUUAUAUUAAUAUAGCAUAAUUUUCUGAUUUUUGUAUUGGUAAGGACUAGUUAUUUUAGUUAAAAAUGUGAAGCUUAUGUA